CAAAUAUUUGUCCAUCAAAGAGAAACAUUUUAAUUUCUUACGUACGUACAUUGCACUGCUUCCUUUUAUCUCAAACAGUUUCUCUGUAUGACAAUAAUUAUUCUAUACUACUGAUACUUUGAAUAAAUCGUCUAACCUAUAUCGUGUCACAAGAAGGCAGCACACACGCGAAAUAUUUGUUCGGACACGUUCGAUCGUAUCGCGAAGUCGACAUCGUUUUGCCCUAGAACAGGUGACUCCAAUUACGGUCCAAUUACCUGUGCGUUUAAUUCUCGUCCGACGCGACGGUUGAGGCGUUAAUUCGAGAGCGU